CUACUCGCACAAACUGAGAAGAUUUAGUUCAUUGAGAAUGGAUGGAAACUGAUGAAGAGCUGGAAGGAGCUAACUGAUGAGUAGACAUUACAACAUUUCUUAUAUUUUCAAGAUGAAGCUGAAAGUCCCAUGCAGGAUGAUGCUUCUCUACAGUGGAUGAUGAAAGCAUGCUGAUUACAAACCCAGGAGAGGAAUAAAGAACAUAUAUUGACAGAAUCAUAUCUAGAGAUGUGGGCCUACUGCACUUCAUACAAGCAAGUGUGCUAAUAUACCAUACUUGGGUUAUCAUCACAGCCCUUUCUUCUGAAAACUAGCCUACAACUUCAUCGAUGAAUGCAGAAGACAUCUACAUGGGACUACGUCUUAAAGAUGCCC
rnacentral:lncRNA from 1 species